CCUCAUCAGGCCCUCUCCCCUCCCCUCCCACUCUCGUUCAGGGCUUUCUGCCUGUGCCUGAGAAUCCUAGCUCGGUGCAGACUCUGCACCGCGACCACCCCAAGUGCCACGGGUCGCCAAACAGCCAGUGGGAGCGUGGGAGCGUGGGAGAGGGGAGAGUACAGGAAAAAUGCCCAGCCAGGCAAGGCGCCCCACUACCCAAUUCCACGCCGCUCCACUAGGUAUUCCAACGCCUACCCCGAAGCUUUGCAUCAAGUCAUGAUUUUACCGCCUGCACACGGGGCCGAAGGCCUGCCGGGAUCCGAAAGGCAGGGGAAAGUUUGCAGAGCUUUUAAAGUGAUCUCCACAAGUUCCUGCUUAAGUCGUCGGGGUGCCGCCCACAGUCUCCCGCGACGGCUCCUAUCCCCGGCACUAGAGGCCCUCCAGGGCAAUCUGCCAGAGUCCCAGGUGCCUUCUAGUCCCCAAACUCUCAGGGUCACGCUCCCAGAACCGCGGUGGGGCUCUGGAGCGGAGCUCUGAUGUGACAGAGUUCAUUAAGAAGCCUCGAGCCCACUACAAAGCAUUCGGAGUAGUUUCGAGGGCAGGACACAGACCCGCGCCGGAGGCAUCUCUCCACACCCUUCAGAGCACAGUCCUGGUCGCCGGGUCUCCAGAGACAAAGUCAAUAAUCCCUUAGACUUGACUUAAAGGUGGGGGUGAGCAGCACGUAGGAGGCUACACCACAGACAUCGAACAGCCUCCAAGUGCUCCGGGCUACGGGUAGGGUCCUGUCCUCCCUUACACUGGGCCCUGGCGCCACGCACCGUGGGGGCCAGGGUAGCUGCGACCUGGCCGCGUAGCGGUUCCCAGGAUUUUCUCUAGGGGCGCGGGGCUCAUCCCAUGCCAAGAUACCAGCAAAUCUUCUGCCCCUAGCCUGGGUGGGUGGGGGGGCUACUUGCGGCAAGGAACCAGGAUCGCGUGGUCUGCGCGCCGCUAGGGAGACGCGCGCGAGGGAGGUGAUGGGUAGGGCUUGUGCUUUUUCUUUACAGAGUCUUUUGAUUAGUUACGAAGUUUCCUGAUAGACGCCUCUGCCCCAAGGUCGGAGCCUCCCACCAUUGCUCCUUCCCCUCCCUCCUCGCAGCCCCUGGGAGCCGAAUCAGCCGGAGUCUCUGCCCGGCCUGGCAGCGCACUGGGUCCCGGAGGCUGGGACCACGCUGCGCCACACUCCCACCCUCCCCCGGAGCACCGCGCUGGGCGCCUCUCCCUGGGGCGAAACUCGCCGGCCCCGCUCACUGCAAGGAGACACCCGCUGCCUCCCGAGGAACUCCUAAUACCAUCCAUACAGCUUUAAUGCGUUUAUAAUUCGAUAAGUGAUUUCAAUUUGAAAUUGUUAGUAACUAAUUUUAUGGGUAAUUUUUCCACAUCAAAUAUUUAAGCAUCAGAUUAAGGGAGCCAGUUCCGACACAGGAUAAUAAGGGGGUUUCCCCCCCACCCCCCGCGCCUCCGCCUCCCACCGUUUCCUACCGAGGCAUUUUUCCAAAUCCCCAAAAGGUGGCAGUCGAAGCCGAC
rnacentral:lncRNA from 1 species